AUAACACUUAGAAAUAGGUGCUAAUACCGCAUAAGCGCACAGCUUCGCAUGAAGCAGUGUGAAAAACUCCGGUGGUAUACGAUGGAUCCGCGUCUGAUUAGCUUGUUGGCGGGGUAAAGGCCCACCAAGGCGACGAUCAGUAGCCGGCCUGAGAGGGUGAACGGCCACAUUGGGACUGAGACACGGCCCAAACUCCUACGGGAGGCAGCAGUGGGGAAUAUUGCACAAUGGGGGAAACCCUGAUGCAGCGACGCCGCGUGAGUGAAGAAGUAUUUCGGUACGUAAAGCUCUAUCAGCAGGGAAGAAAAUGACGGUACCUGACUAAGAAGCCCCGGCUAACUACGUGCCAGCAGCCGCGGUAAUACGUAGGGGGCAAGCGUUAUCCGGAUUUACUGGGUGUAAAGGGAGCGUAGACGGCAGCGCAAGUCUGGAGUGAAAUCCCAUGGCUUAACCAUGGAACUGCUUUGGAAACUGUGCAGCUGGAGUGCAGGAGAGGUAAGCGGAAUUCCUAGUGUAGCGGUGAAAUGCGUAGAUAUUAGGAGGAACACCAGUGGCGAAGGCGGCUUACUGGACUGUAACUGACGUUGAGGCUCGAAAGCGUGGGGAGCAAACAGGAUUAGAUACCCUGGUAGUCCACGCUGUAAACGAUGAUUACUAGGUGUUGGGGGACCAAGGUCCUUCGGUG
rnacentral:rRNA from 1 species